AGUGGCGAACGGGUGAGUAAUAUAUCGGAACGUGCCCUAGAGUGGGGGAUAACUAGUCGAAAGAUUAGCUAAUACCGCAUACGAUCUACGGAUGAAAGUGGGGGAUCGCAAGACCUCAUGCUCCUGGAGCGGCCGAUAUCUGAUUAGCUAGUUGGUGGGGUAAAAGCCUACCAAGGCAACGAUCAGUAGCUGGUCUGAGAGGACGACCAGCCACACUGGGACUGAGACACGGCCCAGACUCCUACGGGAGGCAGCAGUGGGGAAUUUUGGACAAUGGGGGCAACCCUGAUCCAGCAAUGCCGCGUGAGUGAAGAAGGCCUUCGGGUUGUAAAGCUCUUUUGUCAGGGAAGAAACGGUGGUAGCUAAUAUCUACUACUAAUGACGGUACCUGAAGAAUAAGCACCGGCUAACUACGUGCCAGCAGCCGCGGUAAUACGUAGGGUGCGAGCGUUAAUCGGAAUUACUGGGCGUAAAGCGUGCGCAGGCGGUUGUGUAAGACAGAUGUGAAAUCCCCGGGCUCAACCUGGGAAUUGCAUUUGUGACUGCACGGCUAGAGUGUGUCAGAGGGGGGUAGAAUUCCACGUGUAGCAGUGAAAUGCGUAGAUAUGUGGAGGAAUACCGAUGGCGAAGGCAGCCCCCUGGGAUAACACUGACGCUCAUGCACGAAAGCGUGGGGAGCAAACAGGAUUAGAUACCCUGGUAGUCCACGCCCUAAACGAUGUCUACUAGUUGUCGGGUCUUAAUUGACUUGGUAACGCAGCUAACGCGUGAAGUAGACCGCCUGGGGAGUACGGUCGCAAGAUUAAAACUCAAAGGAAUUGACGGGGACCCGCACAAGCGGUGGAUGAUGUGGAUUAAUUCGAUGCAACGCGAAAAACCUUACCUACCCUUGACAUGGGUGGAAUCCCGAAGAGAUUUGGGAGUGCUCGAAAGAGAACCAUCACACAGGUGCUGCAUGGCUGUCGUCAGCUCGCGUCGUGAGAUGUUGGGUUAAGUCCCGCAACGAGCGCAACCCUUGUCAUUAGUUGCUACGAAAGGGCACUCUAAUGAGACUGCCGGUGACAAACCGGAGGAAGGUGGGGAUGACGUCAAGUCCUCAUGGCCCUUAUGGGUAGGGCUUCACACGUCAUACAAUGGUACAUACAGAGGGCCGCCAACCCGCGAGGGGGAGCUAAUCCCAGAAAGUGUAUCGUAGUCCGGAUUGGAGUCUGCAACUCGACUCCAUGAAGUUGGAAUCGCUAGUAAUCGCGGAUCAGCAUGUCGCGGUGAAUACGUUCCCGGGUCUUGUACACACCGCCCGUCA
rnacentral:rRNA from 1 species